rnacentral:rRNA from 1 species
CGGGCGGACGGGUGAGUAACGCGUGGGUAACCUGCUCAUACAGGGGGAUAACAGUUAGAAAUGACUGCUAAUACCGCAUAAGACCACAGCACCGCAUGGUGCGGGGGUAAAAACUCCGGUGGUAUGAGAUGGACCCGCGUCUGAUUAGCUAGUUGGUAAGGUAACGGCUUACCAAGGCGACGAUCAGUAGCCGACCUGAGAGGGUGACCGGCCACAUUGGGACUGAGACACGGCCCAA